CCCUUAGAUGUUCUGGGCCGCACACGCGCUACACUGAAGGAGGCAGCGUGUACUCCUGGAUCGAAAGAUUUGGGUAACCCGCGAAUCUCCUUCGUGCUAGGGAUUGAGGUUUGCAAUUACCCUUCAUGAACGAGGAAUUCCCAGUAAGUGCAAGUCAUAAGCUUGCGCUGACUACGUCCCUGCCCUUUGUACACACCGCCCGUCGCUACUACCGAUUGAAUGAUUUAGUGAGGACUUCGGACUGGGACCGAUGCGGCUUUCGGGCUGCGUCGGUAUUCUGGAAAGAUGUCCAAACUGUAUCAUUUAGAGGAAGUAAAAGUCGUAACA
rnacentral:rRNA from 1 species